UCCUCAAAUUAACCAGAAUGGCUUCAUUCCACAGUAAAGAAUCAUGCAUUGAUGUUUCUUUAAAGACCUUAUUAGCACUCUCAGUCCCACAACACCUCCCAUAAAAAUUCAUCAGUGCACAUUUUGUAUAGACAUCUAAAUCAAAACCCUUCUUUAUCAGACAAGCAUGGACUUCCAAUCCUAACCACAUAUCUCUUAACUUUGAACAG
rnacentral:misc_RNA from 1 species